UACGUAGGGUGCAGGCGUUAAUCGGAGUUACUGGGCGUAAAGCGUGCGCAGGCGGUCUGUUAAGACAGGUGUGAAAUCCCGAGCUCAACUUGGGAUUGCGCUUGUAACUGGCAGGCUAGAGUGUGGCGAGAGGGGGUGGAAUUCCAGGUGUAGCAGUGAAAUGCGUAGAUAUCUGGAGGAACACCGAUGGCGAAGGCAGCCCCUGGGUUAACACGUGACGCUCAGGCACGAAAGCGUGGGGAGCGAAACAGGA
rnacentral:rRNA from 1 species